AGGACACUAACCCUUCCUAUUUUGCACACAACCAUCACUUUCGGCAACCUGCUUACUGAAGGUGUCCUAGAUGAAGGUGAUUGCUCGAGUUAUUUUGGAAAGCUUCAAGGUAAGGGGAAUUGCUAAUAAUAAGUUUCGAUGAGCACAAGAAAUGUGUUACUUGUAUAUAUAUUAUUAGUUAUAAUUAGGGGUGUUGUGUACUUAAUAGUAAUUUAAAUUCAUUAAGGUAUAUGCAAAAUGCAAAAUGAUGAGUGAUUGAUUUGGUUUGAGUUUAUGUGAAUAAAUCUUCAGCAAUGAUAUGAUUUGAAAAUGUUUUGUGAAGAAUAAUAAAUAAAUUAUCUAUGUUUUUGGUUUGUUUAUUUAUAAUAAUAUCUAUGUGCUUGAGUAUUUAUGGUGAAAGUUUGAGGUGAUCUCAUAAGUUUUAUUAGAAGUGUUGAGGAUUAAUAUGUCAAGUUAGAUAUUGACAAAGAAAACUUAAGUUGAAAAGUUGAACGGUUAAUCACCUUUGAUAGGUGAAGAGCAAAACAGGGUGUUUCUUACAAUACGAUAAUGUAUGUAAGACUGAGGAUAGGUUCGGCUAGGUCGCCUCAAGACCUACUGGGGAUCACCGGCGUUUUGAACUCCUACCAAUAGUCAGAGAUAGCCACUCUGACUGGAGGAAAUCAUACAACCCGACGUGGUGAAACCUGACUGUGCAGGACUAUCUAUAAUAAGGUGUAGCGCUCGGGCCAGAAUGGUUGAGACAUAUUUGAUAUAUGUUGAUUUGCAAACAACCAUGUUAUGGCAGUUGAAACGGCCUUACGCUCAUAAUAGAGGUCUCCAUGGAGUAGGUUGAAUAAAGAUAAUACUAACCAAGUUAGAAGACUAACUUUGAGUGAAAAUUAUGAUUGGAUUUUAUAUACAUUUUAAAUGAUUAAAUCUCGAUGUUUGAUAUAUUUGAUGAUUGAUAUAUUGGAUAUAUUCGAUUAUCUUUGUUUUUGACUAAUUGUUGAAUUAUGAUAUUGAUAUAAUGUUUUGUGCAAUUCAUAUUUUUGUGACUAUUUGACUAUACGUGACUAUUUGACUACUUGAUUCUAUUUGAUGUAAAUACAUGAUUAGAUACUCAGGUAUGUAUAUAUAAUAGUUAAAUAAAUGUAUAUACUUGUAUAAUAUUAUGUGUAGCCUUGUGACAUCAUCACGAUGGUAACUUGUGUACGAGUGAUUCACCCCUUACAACAGUUAGUGCAGGAUACUAAGACCUCAAGUUGAAGUUCAUUGA